AUUGAACGCUGGCGGCAUGCCUUACACAUGCAAGUCGAACGGUAACAGGUCUUCGGAUGCUGACGAGUGGCGAACGGGUGAGUAAUACAUCGGAACGUGCCCGAUCGUGGGGGAUAACGCAGCGAAAGCUGUGCUAAUACCGCAUACGAUCUACGGAUGAAAGCGGGGGAUCGCAAGACCUCGCGCGGACGGAGCGGCCGAUGGCAGAUUAGGUAGUUGGUGGGAUAAAAGCUUACCAAGCCGACGAUCUGUAGCUGGUCUGAGAGGACGACCAGCCACACUGGGACUGAGACACGGCCCAGACUCCUACGGGAGGCAGCAGUGGGGAAUUUUGGACAAUGGGGGAAACCCUGAUCCAGCCAUGCCGCGUGCAGGAUGAAGGCCUUCGGUUGGUAAACUAGCUUUGUACGGUAACGAAAAGAACUACUUUCUAAUACAGAGGUCCGAUGACGGUACCGUAAGAAUAAGACACCGGCUAACUACGUAGCCAGCAGCGCGGUAAAACCG
rnacentral:rRNA from 1 species